GACGAACGCUGGCGGCAUGCCUAAUACAUGCAAGUCGAGCGAACAGAUGAAGUGCUUGCACUUCUGACGUUAGCGGCGAACGGGUGAGUAACACGUAAGGAAUCUACCUAUAAGCGGGGGAUAACAUUCGGAAACGGGUGCUAAUACCGCAUAAUAUCUUCUUCCGCAUGGAAGAAGAUUGAAAGACGGCUCUGCUGUCACUUAUAGAUGACCUUGCGGUGCAUUAGUUAGUUGGUGGGGUAAUGGCCUACCAAGACGAUGAUGCAUAGCCGACCUGAGAGGGUGAUCGGCCACAUUGGGACGGGGACACGGCCCAAACUCCUACGGGAGGCAGCAGUAGGGAAUCUUCCGCAAUGGGCGAAAGCCUGACGGAGCAAUGCCGCAUGAGUGAAGAAGGCCUUCGGGUCGGAAAACUCUGUUAUAAGAGAAGAACAAAUUGUAGAGUAACUGCUACAGUCUUGACGGUAUCUUAUCAGAAAGCCACGGCUAACUACGUGCCAGCCGCCGCAGUAA
rnacentral:rRNA from 1 species